rnacentral:rRNA from 1 species
GACCUGGCUGGGCGGUCCGCUUAACGGCGUGUACUGUCUGGCUGGGUCUUACCUCUUGGUGAGCCGGCGUGCCCUUUAUUGGUGUGCGUCGGGGAACCAGGACUUUUACCUUGAGAAAAUUAGAGUGUUCAAAGCAGGCCUAUGCCUGAAUACAUUAGCAUGGAAUAAUAGAAUAGGACUUUGGUUCUAUUUUGUUGGUUUCUAGGACUAGAGUA